CGGGUGAGAGAGGAUAGAUAUCAAAAAGGUAACACUGGUAAUCUUUGGAUGGGAUUGGUUGGGGUUUAGAAGAGAUGGAAAACAUGAGAAAACUAUGAAUGUUUAUCAAUUUAGAGAAUGGAAUAUUUUAAUAGAUUUGUGUACUGUUAUAUAGUGGAAUAUUAAUAUGAAAUAUUCAUGUCUCCAUAAGAGGUUGGUUGGGGGCUAGAGAAGAUGAUUAAUUUUUGUUUUUCUAUGUUUUUAUUGUUUAACUCUUUACAUUGAGCAGAUACUACUUCAAAUAAUUACAAUAGUAGAAAAACUAAAAUUGAUUUUAAUUCAUAAGGCAAGUAGAUAAUGUAAAACAUUAAGAUUUUAGAACUCUUAGAAAGUUAGAAACUCUAGGGAAAAUAAUAAAUUCUAGAAACUCAACAGGUACACUAAAAGUGUCACAAGAACCAAGAGGAGGAGGAGAUAAACAUUCUCUGAACUUUUGGAAGUCUUGGAAGACAUAGCUCUAAAAAUAUCAUAACACUAGAUAACUAGGAUUAUUUUAGGUAUCAGUUGUGUCACAUACAUAUAUAUGUAUAUAUACACAUAUAUCCUUGGUCAGCUUGAAUUAGUAUUUAAAAAUGAGCAAGCAACAGGCAACAAUAGCCACACAGACGGACUCUGGUGACUUAUGUAACAGCAGAGAUCUAGAAGUAUUAGUCCUGACUCUUGGGUCAGAAAUGUAACCUCCGGUCAAUGGGCCUCUUUUUUUUUUUCCCUUGGCUUUCACCCAGCUUUGCUGCUCUUAUACAGAUGUGACAUUAUUCCCUGAAUCACCAGCACAUGAACAAAAGAAUUUCUAUGAGAAGUUAACAAAGGGGAAACUAUGACUUGGGGAGUUUUUAACUUCCCAAAGUUCAGAUGAAGUCUCACUCUAUCACCCAGGCUGGAGUGCAGUGGCAUGAUCUCAGCUGACUGCAACCUCUGCCUCCCGGUUCAAGUGAUUCUCCUGCCUCAGCCUUCUGAGUUACUGGGACUACAGGUCCAGUGUGCUUGUUGCUCGAGACCUCAUGCCUUCUGGACCCAGACAUCUCUGCAAUCUUGGAACUGGAAUACACCGCUUCUUGUCAAGACUUUCUUGAGAGGCCUGCCCUGUCCUGAAGUGUCCCCAGACACCUCAAUUAUUUCCUGUGGCAGCCCUCCCCAAGUACUCCCAUGA
rnacentral:lncRNA from 1 species